UGGGGAAUAUUGGGGCAAUGGGGCGCAAGCCUGACCCAGCAACGCCGCGUGAAGGAAGAAGGCUUUCGGGUUGUAAACUUCUUUUAAGGGGGAAGAGGAGAAGACGGUACCCCUAGAAUAAGCCACGGCUAACUACGUGCCAGCAGCCGCGGUAAUACGUAGGUGGCAAGCGUUGUCCGGAUUUACUGGGUGUAAAGGGCGUGUAGCCGGGUCUGCAAGUCAGAUGUGAAAUCCAUGGGCUUAACCCAUGAACUGCAUUUGAAACUGUGGAUCUUGAGUGCUGGAGGGGCAAGCGGAAUUCCUGGUGUAGCGGUGAAAUGCGUAGAUAUUAGGAGGAACACCAGUGGCGAAGGCGGCUUGCUGGGGCUUAACUGACGCUGAGGCACGAAAGCA
rnacentral:rRNA from 1 species